rnacentral:rRNA from 1 species
UACGUAGGUGGCAAGCGUUGUCCGGAUUUACUGGGCGUAAAGAGCGCGCAGGCGGUCUCUUAAGUCUGAUGUGAAAGCCCACGGCUCAACCGUGGAGGGUCAUUGGAAACUGGGGGACUUGAGUACUGGAGAGGAGAGUGGAAUUCCAUGUGUAGCGGUGAAAUGCGUAGAUAUAUGGAGGAACACCAGUGGCGAAGGCGGCUCUCUGGCCAGUAACUGACGCUGAGGCGCGAAAGCGUGGGGAGCAAACAGG